CCUACACACUGGUUACCUCUCAUGGUUUUAGCUGUUUUUUAAGACCGUUUAUCUGGCAUGUCUAUCGUGCUAAACUUUCAAUAAAACCCCGGCCAGCACUGCCAAAAUGAAAUAGCUAAGAGGAAAGCUUUUCAUUACACGCCAAACUUUUCGCACAAUAUAUUAAAAACAAAAAAAUACGCGACCAGUUAAAACUAUCUACAGGAAAACCAAAAAGGGUAAAAAACAAAUGCAUACAAAAUGGACGCCAUUCGCUGCAGUGGGAAAAAAAAUACACAAGUUUCGGUUAAAAAGUGCAAUAACAAAUUAACGCAACGGAAACGAAAAUAUAAUAAGAAGCCCACAUUAUGCCACAUAAAUCAAACGGAUCUCGUUACGGUGGGGGAAAAAGUGCUUUCAGCUGCCAAGGCGACUUCUUUAAAUAUAUCAAGCCCCUGAUGAACAGAAAAAGUGAAUGAAAAAGAUUUUCCCUCACGUUUUUGGAAUGUUUUUAAUGAGCAAUUACGGAUGAUACUUUCUUACUCCAAGCAAAACCUAAGUUAAUAAGGUGUUGUUUUUGCAUUUUAAAUUCGCUUCUAAAUAUAAUUUAAUAAUGGUCCCUAUUUAAA